GCCAGCACCACUCCAGAAGAGGAGCUGCUCAUGGAGUUUCUGAGGGUGACCAAGGCAUACCCUGCUGAUGUUGUGGUCACCCUCCUGCGCUGUGCCCCAUCCUGUGACAGAGCUGCUGCCAGCAUGUGGAGGACCAUCGCCUCUUCGGGAAUGGCACUGGAGAAGGUGCUGCCAGAGUUGCUCUGUGUGAUGGAGGACUGGCCAUUGCACAGCUCAUCCACCUCCGACGGGGACAACACGCCUGUCUUUGCUC